CAGAAAACCACAACAUUCAUUACCUCAGGCCGGUCAGACAAUUCACGCGUGCGUAGCGAGUAACCACGCACGUGCUAGUCAGUCUUACAGUAACAACGACAUCCUCAAGAUUCCAAUUUUCUCAUGAAGUAACUAACUGUCUUCUCUUUUGAGAAUUUCCCAAGAUAAUAUGGAUCCUAAAGACGCAACAGUUAUGGAUCCUCCCACGUCUAUGCUCCUUUUGUCGAUCGUCCCACAGCUUCCCGGAUCUGGGAGUCGAUCGUGAUCGAGCAAGUCCAUGAGGUGUUGUUCGUGAUCCAUCUUCUUGAUUUAGAAGAGCCAUAAAGGAUUAUACUCUCAAGUAUUGGCUCAAAUCAUUAACUAGAGAUCAAUUCAAGCUUCAAGGCCGUACCGCUCAGCUUUCUAAUCUAAUCUAGCUAGAUAUUAAUGGACAGGCUAUACAUGCCAGUAUGGGUUUGCCACCUGCUCUUAGUGUCACACCACUGCUAAAGUUGGAAAAUUGGAAAUCAUGCUUCCGUAUGUCAGCAAUGUACAAACGGAGCCUGUAGUUGUGCAAAUCGAUAAACUCGAUCUUGUUCUUGAAGAGAAUCCUGAUGAUGAUGUGACAAAGGGCCCAAGCAGUGCUCAGUCUCCUACCGCCUCUGGAAAAAGUAACGGUUAUGGAUUUGCUGACAGGUUAUAUAUUUCAUUAUGUUGAUCAGAUUGCAGACGGAAUGACUUUACAAGUAAAAGUGGUCAAUCUUCUUCUUGAAACUGGUGGUGGUGCUCACCGUGAAGGAGGUGCAGCCUGGUAAGUUGCUUUUACUGCGUUCUUUGAUGCAUAAACCUUAUUAUGGUUCUUAACUAUCGGAGUUUAUUAUGAAUGCAUUGGAAUCUUUCUUAUGUAUGUCUAAUCUAAACUUUUGUACUUCGUAUCUUGGGCUGCUCAUCUGGCAUCUAUUACAAUAUGCAACCUUGUUCUGUACACCACUAAUGAGAGUUGGAAGGUUGUAAAUCUGAAAGAAGCAAGGGACUGACUUCUCUACUAACACCGGAUUUAUUUAUUUGUUUAAGAAACUUGAAUGGGAAGUUUUAUCAAAUUGAUCUUCCGCCACAUCCUGAUAUGUUCAUUGACGCUAACUUAGCCCGCUCUGAAGAAGAAAAUCUCAGAGAUGAUGAUGGAGCAAACCAAGUUUUCUUUGGCGGUGAACGCUUUUUAGAUGGAAUUUCUGGCCAAGCACAUGUAAAACAUUUGUUUCUGAUUUGUCUUUUUACUUGUAUAUAUCAUAUUGGAGUAAGGAUGCUUUAAGGAAUUAAUUUUUUUUGGUGUGUAAUUCGUUAGCCCUGAUGGUGGCCUCUUGUUCAGAGAACAGCAUUAAACAGUCCACUUGGGCUUGAAGUCCAGUUACACAUUUUAGAACAUUCUCUCUUAGUUUUUACAUAGCUGGUUGGUGGAUAUGGAUAACUAAGUCUACCCAUUAUUCUUGGGAAUAGACGCCGUCUUCUCCGCUUCUUAACUGGAAUGUAUGUAUGCCUAAACCGAGGAGAUGUGGAUCCAAAAUCUCAACAGUUUUUCUCACUCUUUAUGGUAUCUUUCAAGCAGUCUGCUGAAGCAGCAGGAAGGUCUCUUGUCUCUGUUCUUGUGGACCAUGUGUUUCUUUGCAUUAAAGAUGCUGAAUUCCAACUGGACCUACUGAUUCAAUCACUCCUCUUCUCUCGAGCCUGUGUUUUGGAUGGAGAAUCAGCUAACUAUUUGACUAAGAUCUUGAUUGGUGGAGUAUUUUUAAGGUUCAUCUUCAGGAAGAAGCUUGUUUAACGGAUUUCUUCUGUUUUGGCUGAUGGCAUAGUUGUGAUGUUUUACCAGAUAAAUCCGUUAACUCUCUUCUUUUCACCUUCAAGCAGUUAGAUGUUUCUGUUCCAUUAGACAUGAG